rnacentral:lncRNA from 1 species
CGGCUGCGACGUCAGGAAUUCAACGUUGGUUGCCGAUGGAUAUUGCGGCCGUUGAUUGGGGAGAUGGAGAGAAGGUUUCGGCCUUUCGAUCUUUGGUAGUGGUAGCCUGAAGAUGGAGGAACGGCUACGUGCUGACGGCUCACGUACUAGUGGCUGGUCGGCAGAGAAACAAGCCGGUGAAGGGAGCUCACUUGAGCUCUUGUUCUAAUUUCAGGCGAGAGGGAAGAGAAGCUUCCGGCGUUUCUUUCGCCGUUCAACGACCUCCUCGGCUGGUUUUGCGAGGGUGGCGGCGUAGGGAGGCCGCGGUGGUGACGACGGUGGCCGGCGGAGCUCAAUUGGCGAGCUCGGAGAGCUGGCGUGGCUCAGGCAGAUUCUGCCGCUGUUCUGUUGCUACUUGCUGCUAUGGUCUGAUCGACUGAUCGGAGAGAGCUCAAGGCUGGAAAAGGAGGGAGGGUGGUGGUGUUUCACGGUGGUGGUGAGAGCAGAGCGAAGGGCGGCGGCGCGACGGAGCGGCGCGGCCGAGCUUGCUCGCUGCUGCUGCUCCGGGCUGCUGCUUUUGCUUCCGGCUGCUGCUGCUACUCUUCGGCUGCUGCUGUUCUAGCGCCGGGGAGGUGGCCGGCGAAGGGCAACGGCUGCGGUGGUUGGGGCUUGAGCGAGAGGGAGAGAUGGCGGGCGGUGGUGUGUGAGCCGAAUUAAG